GAUGAAGAACGCAGCGAAAUGCGAUAAGUAGUGUGAAUUGCAGAAUUCAGUGAAUCAUCGAAUCUUUGAACGCACCUUGCGCCCUUUGGCUAUUCCGAAGGGCAUGCCUGUUUGAGUAUCAUGAACACCUCAACUCUCAUGGUUUUUCCAUGAUGGGCUUGGACUUUGGGGGUCUUGCUGGCCUAUAGUCAGCUCCUCUUAAAUGAAUCAGCUUGCCAGUGUUUGGUGGCAUCACAGGUGUGAUCUAUCUACGCUUGUGGUUUUCCAUCAAGUCACCUUCAGCGAUGGAGGUUCGCUGGGGCUCAUAAGAAGGCCUCUCCUCGGUGAGGAUGGCUCCUUUGAACGUUUGAUCUCAAAUCAGGUAGGACUACCCGCUGAACUUAAGCAUAUCAAUAAGCGGAGGA
rnacentral:misc_RNA from 1 species